AGCCAGACCUGGCAGGAGGAAGCCAGCUGUAGACAGGAAACGCGUCAGCUGGGCGUCCCCGCUUGUGCGGCUCAGGGGCUGAAUGUCGGGGGGCUCGGAGGUGCCAGGAGCCCGAGGGGACGCGGGACGCCCCCUGUCUGCGCUGAGCGGGGCCAUGCAAAGCAGCAAGAACUGGUCCCCCCGGGCAAAUGGGGGCUGGGAUCUCCUUCCCUCAUCAUCGCUGGGAGUCAUGACUGCCCCGGGCUCCUGGGUCCCCUUCUGGACGCUCCUCAAGCUGACCCUCUACCUGCUGGCCAUCAUGACCUUCUCCUUCCUCAUCCACGUAAGCAGCCGGUUCCCCUCCACAAAGCAGAGGCUCCCCUCCCCGAACACAACGAAGGGGUCCCCAGCCACAUCCCCCACCACAACGCCCCCAACAGAGCGGGGCAUGUGGACCGUGAACUCCGCCGGGCGCCUGGGGAACCAGAUGGGGGAAUACGCCACCCUCUACGCCCUGGCCAAGAUGAACGGGCGCCAGGCCUACAUCCUCCCGGAGAUGCACCAACAGCUGGCGCCGCUCUUCCGCAUCACCCUGCCCGUGAUCCCCAGCGACAUGGUCCGGAGCGUCCCGUGGAAGGACUAUGAGCUCCACGACUGGAUGUCAGAGGAGUACAGGCACAUCGAGGGGAAAUACGUCCGGCUGACGGGCUACCCCUGCUCCUGGACCUUCUACCACCACCUCCAGCAGGAGAUCCUCCAGGAAUUCUCCUUCCACGACCACGUCAAGGAGGAGGCCAACCGGUACCUGGCCGGGCUGCGCGGGCAGCACCGGAACGUGACCUACGUGGGCGUGCAUGUCCGAAGGGGGGACUACGUCUGGGUGAUGCCCCAGGUCUGGAAGGGGGUGGUGGCGGACAAGGCCUACCUGGAGAAGGCCAUGGGCUACUUCCGGGACAAGUACCAGGAGCCAGUCUUUGUGGUGACCAGCAACGGGAUGGAGUGGUGCCGGGAGAACAUCGACGCCUCGCGGGGGGACGUGUAUUUCUCGGGGGAUGGGAAGGAGUCGUCACCAGGGAGGGACUUUGCUCUCUUGGCCCAUUGCAACCACACGAUCAUGACCAUCGGGACCUUCGGCAUCUGGGCCGGUUACCUGGUCGGUGGGGAGACCAUCUACUUGGCCAACUACACCCUCCCCGAUUCCCCCUUCCUCCGGCUCUUCAAACCUGCGGCCGCCUUCCUGCGCGAGUGGAUCGGGAUUGACGCCGAUCUCUCCCCACUGCGGAGCGGGAAUUCUGGCUAAAUCAGCCACAGGCUGCCAGUGGGAUCCACUCACCAGGACCUGGCUGGUCGGCUGAGGACUGGGCACCUGGGCCCCCCGGCUGGUGCGGGCUGCGCUGGGGAGAUCGGGGGCGAUUGGAGCUGGGCUGGCGGGAUUCAGAGCCCCACACGGAGCAGCCAAUGACCUACAUCGGACAACUUCUCAUAGGAGUGUCCUGAGUGAUGGGACCGUCUCCGUCUGUUGAAUGUGUGGUCCCCCGCCCCUCCUGGUAUUCCAUCAUGGAGUCUGGAACCAGGGGCCGGGAUCACGUGAUCAAAGCAGCCAGGAGACAGAGACGCUUUGUCCCAUCCCAGGCAGGUGGGAGAGGAGCAUCUUCAGGGACGUAUUGUUCUUCCCAACGGCCCAGCCGGACUGAUGGCUGCUGUCUGCUGGGCGUUCCCCAGGGGGAAACCCACUGGUCAUUGGUCCAGCGUCGAUAUUCCUGAUAUUCAGGCCUGGUACGUUCACACCAAUAGCAUAAUCACAUUCAGCCAAUCGUCACCUUUCUAUUGAUACCUCACAUGCCUCGUCUUGCACAAAAUAUGUCACAGUGAUGCUAUAAUUCUAUUGUUACACACGUUCUAUGAAGAAUACGGAGUGUGGUGUCACCGGGUCUGGGAGGUUAGAGCGGAUGGAAGUGGGAUCUAGUGGUUAGAGCGGGGAGGGCUGGGAGCCAGGACUCCUGGCUUUAUCCCCGGCUCUGGGAGCGGAGUGGGGUCUAGUGGUUAGAGCGGGGGGGGGGGCUGGGAGCCAGGACUCCUGGCUUUAUCCCCGGCUCUGGGAGCGAAGUGGGGUCUAGUGGUUAGAGCAGGGGUUCAUCAUUGUCUGCAGCUUUGUGAAAUUGGCCCUUCUAAAGCACCAAGUAUGUACAAGAUUGGUCCAGACCGGGGCUCCGGAGCCACCUGCAGCUCUUCAGAGGUUAAUAGGCGGCUCCUUGUCUAGACACCGACUCCAGGGCUGGGGCGACAGGCGCCAACUUUCCAUGUGCCGGGAGGUGCUCAGAGCUCUGCCACGGGCCCUGCCCCCAACUCCACCCCUUCCCACCUGUGACAAACUGGGGGGGGGGGGUUCUUGGUUUUUCCGUGUUUUUCCAAUGGUUUGCAUGCCAAGGGGGUGGGACUCAGUGUCCCUGGGUGUUACUGGUUUAACGAGGGGAGGGGAGAGGGAGUUUAUUGUUACAGAGGACCAGAGCGGGAACUUGGGACCCCAACCACUGGCGUGAAGAAUGGAGAUCCCAGUGACUGGUGACCUGACGACCCGGAGACCCAGCUCAGGAGUUGCAGCCGGUUCUGGCCAGUGGGAGGACAAUGGGCUGCAGAGAGAGGACCCCGGUGACCUGACCAGCUGGUUCCAGCCAGAGGGGCCAGAGGACGGAAGAG